rnacentral:rRNA from 1 species
UGGGGGAUAUUGCACAAUGGGGGGGAACCCUGAUGCAGCGACGCCGCGUGAGGGAAGACGGCCUGGUUGUAACUCUGUCGCAGGGGACGGAAGAAGAUGACGGUACCCA